rnacentral:rRNA from 1 species
AACGUAGGUUCCGAGCGUUAUCCGGAUUUACUGGGCGUAAAGCGCGUUCAGGCGGUUUGGCAAGUCGGGCAUGAAAUCUCUCGGCUCAACCGGGAGAGGUUGUCCGAUACUUCCAGACUUGAGGGCAGUAGAGGGUGGUGGAAUUCCGGGUGUAGUGGUGAAAUGCGUAGAUAUCCGGAGGAACACCAGUGGCGAAGGCGGCUCUCUGGGACGGUACUGACGCUGAGACGCGAAAGCGUGGGGAGCGAACAGG